UACGGAGGGUGCAAGCGUUAUCCGGAUUCACUGGGUUUAAAGGGUGCGCAGGCGGGCUUGUAAGUCAGUGGUGAAAGCCCGGGGCUUAACUCCGGAAUUGCCGUUGAUACUGCAAGCCUUGAGUACGGUUGAGGUGGGCGGAAUACAUCAUGUAGUGGUGAAAUACUUAGAUAUGAUGUAGAAAACCGAUUGCGAAGGCAGCUCACUAAAGCGUAACUGACGCUGAGGCACGAAAGCAUGGGGAUCAAACAGG
rnacentral:rRNA from 1 species